rnacentral:rRNA from 1 species
CAGGCUUAACACAUGCAAGUCGAGGGGCAGCAUGAACUUAGCUUGCUAAGUUUGAUGGCGACCGGCGCACGGGUGAGUAACACGUAUCCAACCUGCCGAUGACUCGGGGAUAGCCUUUCGAAAGAAAGAUUAAUACCCGAUGGCAUAGUUCUUCCGCAUGGUAGAACUAUUAAAGAAUUUCGGUCAUCGAUGGGGAUGCGUUCCAUUAGGUUGUUGGCGGGGUAACGGCCCACCAAGCCUUCGAUGGAUAGGGGUUCUGAGAGGAAGGUCCCCCACAUUGGAACUGAGACACGGUCCAAACUCCUACGGGAGGCAGCAGUGAGGAAUAUUGGUCAAUGGACGAGAGUCUGAACCAGCCAAGUAGCGUGAAGGAUGACCGCCCUAUGGGUUGUAAACUUCUUUUAUACGGGAAUAAAGUGAGGCACGUGUGCCUUUUUGUAUGUACCGUAUGAAUAAGGAUCGGCUAACUCCGUGCCAGCAGCCGCGGUAAUACGGAGGAUCCGAGCGUUAUCCGGAUUUAUUGGGUUUAAAGGGAGCGUAGGCGGACGCUUAAGUCAGUUGUGAAAGUUUGCGGCUCAACCGUAAAAUUGCAGUUGAUACUGGGUGUCUUGAGUACAGUAGAGGCAGGCGGAAUUCGUGGUGUAGCGGUGAAAUGCUUAGAUAUCACGAAGAACUCCGAUUGCGAAGGCAGCCUGCUGGACUGUAACUGACGCUGAUGCUCGAAAGUGUGGGUAUCAAACAGGAUUAGAUACCCUGGUAGUCCACACAGUAAACGAUGAAUACUCGCUGUUUGCGAUAUACAGUAAGCGGCCAAGCGAAAGCGUUAAGUAUUCCACCUGGGGAGUACGCCGGCAACGGUGAAACUCAAAGGAAUUGACGGGGGCCCGCACAAGCGGAGGAACAUGUGGUUUAAUUCGAUGAUACGCGAGGAACCUUACCCGGGCUUGAAUUGCAACUGAAUGAUGUGGAGACAUGUCAGCCGCAAGGCAGUUGUGAAGGUGCUGCAUGGUUGUCGUCAGCUCGUGCCGUGAGGUGUCGGCUUAAGUGCCAUAACGAGCGCAACCCUUAUCUUUAGUUACUAACAGGUCAUGCUGAGGACUCUAGAGAGACUGCCGUCGUAAGAUGUGAGGAAGGUGGGGAUGACGUCAAAUCAGCACGGCCCUUACGUCCGGGGCUACACACGUGUUACAAUGGGGGGUACAGAAGGCAGCUACCUGGUGACAGGAUGCUAAUCCCAAAAGCCUCUCUCAGUUCGGAUCGAAGUCUGCAACCCGACUUCGUGAAGCUGGAUUCGCUAGUAAUCGCGCAUCAGCCAUGGCGCGGUGAAUACGUUCCCGGGCCUUGUACACACCGCCCGUCAAGCCAUGAAAGCCGGGGGUACCUGAAGUACGUAACCGCAAGGAGCGUCCUAGGGUAAAACUGGUAAUUGGGGCUAAG